rnacentral:snRNA from 1 species
ACCAUUGCACUGAAAAGGUGGAGUUGGAGUCAACAGACCAAUUACGUGAUUAUUGCUGGUUGAAAACUUCACCCAAUACCCCGCCUUGAUGACUUGAAACAUAGUCAGCUAUGGUAAUUUUUGUAAGUUUCUGAGAAG